UGACGUCGCGAGAAGUCCACUGAACCUUAUCAUUUAGAGGAAGGAGAAGUCGUAACAAGGUUUCCGUAGGUGAACCUGCGGAAGGAUCAUUGUCGAAACCUGCAAAGCAGACCCGCGAACACGUGUUUAUCAUUCACGGGGCCUCAAUCUAGGUGUGCAAGCCCCUUUGUUGAGAGUCCCGCGCCUGCUCGACGCAAGCGUUUGGCAGGAUAACGAACCCCGGCGCGGCAUGCGCCAAGGAAAACUUAAAAGAAGCGUUGCCCCCACGACGCCCGUUCGCGGUGCGCACGUGGGAAAGCGACGUCUCUCGAAUGUCUAAACGACUCUCGGCAACGGAUAUCUCGGCUCUCGCAUCGAUGAAGAACGUAGCGAAAUGCGAUACUUGGUGUGAAUUGCAGAAUCCCGUGAACCAUCGAGUCUUUGAACGCAAGUUGCGCCCGAAGCCUUUUGGCCGAGGGCACGCCUGCCUGGGCGUCACGCAUCGCGUCGCCCCCUCCAUAUCCCUCGGGAUGUUGUGUGGGGGCGGAAAAUGGCCUCCCGUGCGACUAGUUCGUGCGGCUGGCCCAAAUACGAUCCUGCAUCGACGGAUGUUACGACCAGUGGUGGAUUGUUACUCAAUCGAGCUGUCGUGCGUCACCCCGUCGGUCGCUAGGCAUCAAGUCGACCCAAUGGUGCUCAACGCACUUCCGACCGCGACCCCAGGUCAGGCGGGACUU
rnacentral:rRNA from 1 species